ACAGGGUUUAACCAUCUUUCUCAGUGGUAAUUUGUGGGAAGAAAAUGGAUAGAAAAGGAAAGGUCAUAGGAUGCAUGUGUGGGCGUGGGUUUUGGGAGCAUUGAACUUGGAACCAUUUAAAGAUUUGAGAGCUGAGAAAGACUGAAGAGAGAGGAGAGAAGACAUUUGUGGGGCGACUGAGGAACACUCUUAGCUGUCUUAACCCCUACAGGUCUUUGCCCUUUUCUCAGUCUCUCGUCUUUCUUUUUUUUACCUUUUUCUUUAAUGUUAUCAAAAGCUGAUCUCUUACUUGUUGUGAGAUUCAGAUCGAAAUUCAUGUCAUGGAUAAUUAUGGGGCUGAAAUGAAUUUUCAAAGAGGAUGGAUCUUUUUGGUACUUUUGCUAAGUUCCAUUUUGCAUGACCCCUCAUUGGCCUUCCUCUGUCCCUCCUCGUUUUUUCUGUUCAUAAGGAUCCACCGAUUUGAUGCUACUGUAGAGAGAACCACUGUCGUGUGUUGAUAGACCAAUUUCAUCAACGAGAUUGUUUAAAUUUCUAUAUGUUAUCUAAUGCAUAUGUCGAAGUUAGAUCGAGUUUUCGUUUUUCGUCUAUCUUUUUGUUGUGCUUCGAAGUUAAGAAUUCAACAAGUGGGUUACACAACUUCCACUUCCACUUGUUUUUUUUAAUGAUAAUAAUCUCUUGAGACAAAAAC